rnacentral:rRNA from 1 species
GUUUAAGCUAAUAAGAGCGCAGGGAGGAUGCCUUGGCAUCAGGAGCCGAAGAAGGACGCGGUAAGCUGCGAAAAGCUCCGGGGAGUGGCAAGCACACAUUGAUCCGGAGAUAUCCGAAUGGAGCAAUCCACAUGAGUGAAGCUCAUGUAUCAUAUACUGAAUAAAUAGGUAUAUGAGGGGAACCGUCUGAACUGAAACAUCUAAGUAGGACGAGGAAAAGAAAUCAACCGAGAUUCCGCUAGUAGUGGCGAGCGAACGCGGAAGAGGCUAAACCGAAGUCAGCAAUGAUUUCGGGGUUUAGGACUGCAUUUAGUAUCACGGAGGUCUAGUCGAAGUACAUGGGAAGGUACAUCGAAGAGGGUGAGAAUCCCGUAGACGAAAGGCUGAAGUGGCGAGCAGGAUCCAAAGUACCGCCGGACACGUGAAACCCGGUGGGAAGAUGGGGGGACCAUCCUCCAAGCCUAAAUACUACCUGAUGACCGAUAGCGAAUAGUACUGUGAAGGAAAGGUGAAAAGCACCCCGUGAGGGGAGUGAAAGAGAACCUGAAACCCUGUGCUUACAAGCACUUAGAGCACGUCAAAGUGUGAUAAGGUACCUAUUGUAGAAUGGUCCGGCGAGUUAUUGUAUGCAGCGAGGUUAAGUAGUUCAGCUACGGAGCCGAAGUGAGAGCGAGUGUUAACAGCACGUUCAGUUGCAUGCAAUAGACCCGAAACCGGGUGACCUAUCCAUGUCCAGGAUGAAGUGAGGGUAAAACCUCAUGGAGGUCCGAACCCACUCCCGUUGAAAUGGUAGGGGAUGAGGUGUGGAUAGCGGAGAAAUUCCAAUCGAACCCGGAUAUAGCUGGUUCUCCCCGAAAUAGUUUUAGGACUAGCCUCGUGAUUAAGAUUAUCGGAGGUAAAGCACUGAAUGGCCUAGGGGUCGAGAGAUUACCGAAGCCUAUCAAACUCUGAAUGCCGAAUAAUCAUGCACGGGAGUCAGACUGUGUGAGAUAAGUUUCAUAGUCGAAAGGGAAACAGCCCAGACCUACAUCUAAGGUCCCAAAGUACGUUUAAGUGGAAAACGAUGUGAAAUUGCGUAGACAACCAG